CGAGAAAUGUUUUUAGGGUUCCGUAGCCAAAUGGCAAAAAAACGGAACCCUUAUGGAUUCGUCAUGUCUGUCUGUCUGUCUGUCCGUCCGUAUGUCUCAGCCACUUUUUUCCGAAACUAUAAGAACUAUACUGUUGAAACUUGGUAAGUAAAUGUAUUCUGUGAACCGCAUUAAGAUUUUCACACAAAAAUAGAAAAAAAAACAAAAAAUUUUGGGGGUUCCCCAUACUUAGAACUGAAACUUAAGAAUUUUUUUUUCAUCAAACCCAUACGUGUGGAUAGGUCUUCAAAAAUGAUAUUGAGGUUUCUCAUAUCAUUUUUUUUCUAAACUGAAUAGUUUGCGCGAGACACACUUCCAAAGUGGUAAAAUGUGUCGUCGUCGUCGUCGUCUCCCCCCCGUUGUAACUUCUAAAAUAAGAGAAUGAUAAAACUAAACAAAAUAUAUGAUGUACAUUACCAUGCAAACUUCCACCGAAAAUUGGUUUGAACGAGAUCUAGUUAGUAGUUUUUUUUUAAUACGUCACAAAUCAACUGAAACUCAAUUUUUUUUUAUAAAACCCAUACGUGUGGGGUAUCUAUGGAUAGGUCUUCAAAAAUGAUAUUUAGGUUUCUAAUAUAUUUUUUUUCUAAACUGAAUACUUGGCGCGAGAGACACUUCCAAAGUGGUAAAAUGUGUGUCCCU